rnacentral:misc_RNA from 1 species
GACGAACCGAGCGAACGUUGUUCGGAAUCACUGGGCUUAAAGGGCGCGUAGGCGGUCAACCCAGUCGGGGGUGAAAUCUUUCGGCUUAACCGGAAAAGUGCCUUCGAUACUGGUUGACUCGAGGAAGGUAGGGGCAGAUGGAACUUCCGGUGGAGCGGUGAAAUGUGUUGAUAUCGGAAGGAACGCCGGCGGCGAAAGCGAUCUGCUGGACCUUUACUGACGCUGAGGCGCGAAAGCCAGGGGAGCAAACGGG